AGUUUGAUUCUGGCUCAGAUUGAACGCUGGCGGGAUGCUUUACAUGCAAGUCGAACGGCAGCAAUGGACUUCGGUCUGUGGCGAGGCGAACGGGUGAGUAAUGUAUCGGAACGUGCCUAGUAGCGGGGGAUAACUACGCGGAAAGUAGCUAAUACCGCAUACGCCCUUCGGGGGAAAGCGGGGACCUUCGGGCCUGCACAUUAGAGCGGCCGAUAUCGGAUUAGCUAGUUGGUGGGUAACGGCUCACCAUACGACGAUCCGUAGCUGGUUUGAGAGGACGACCAGCCACACUGGGACUGAGACACGGCCCAGACCUCUACGGGAGGGGCAGUGGGAAUUUGGACAAUGGGAAGUCUCCUGAUCCAGCCAUCCCGCGUGUGCGAUGAAGGCCUUCGGUUAAAAAGCACUUUUGGCAGAAAGAAACGGCACGGAUAACACCGUGCAACUGACGGUACCUGCAGAAUAAGCACCGGCUAACUACGCGCCAGCAGCCGCGGUAAUACGUAGGGUGCAAGCGUUAAUCGGAAUUACUGGGCGUAAAGCGUGCGCAGGCGGUUCGAAGAAAGAUGGAAAUCCCAGAGCUUAACUUUGGAACUGCAUUUUUAACUACCGGAGCUGAGUGUGUCGAGGAGGUGGAAUUCCGCGUAGGCAGUGAAAUGCGUAGAUAUGCGGAGGAACACCGAUGGCGAAGGCAGCCUCCUGGGAUAACACUGACGCUCAUGCACGAAAGCGUGGGGAGCAAACAGGAUUAGAUACUCCCGGUAGUCCACGCCCUAAACGAUGUCAACUAGCUGUUGGGGCCUUCGGGCCUUGGUAUGGCAGCUAACGGAAGAAGCUGACCGCCUGGGAGUACGGUCGCAAGAUUAAAACUCAAAGGGAAUUGACGGGGACCUGUACUGGCAAGCAGGGAUGAGAUGUGGAUUAAUUCGAUGCAAUGGCAAACCUUACCUACCCUGACAUGUCUGAAUCCCGAAGAGAUUUGGGAGUGCUCGCAAGAGAACCGGAACACAGGUGCUGCAUGGCUGUCGUCAGCUCGUGUCGUGAGAUGUUGGGUUAAGUCCCGCAACGAGCGCAACCUUUGCCAUUAGUUGCUACGAAAGGCACUCUGACGACUGUUGGCACAAACCGGAGGAAGGUGGGAGAUGACGCUGUCCUGGCCCUUAUGGUAGGGCUUCACACGUCAUACAAUGGUCGGGACAGAUAGUCGCCAACCCAGAGGGGGAGCCAAUCCCAGAAACCCGAUCGUAGUCCGAUCGUAGCCCGUGGGAACGACUGCGUGAAGUCGGAAUCGCUAGUAAUCGCGGAUCAGCAUGUCGCGGUGAAUACGUUCCCGGUCUUGUACACGUCUGCCCAUCACACCAUGGGAGUGGUAUUACCAGAAGUAGUUAGCUCAACUGUAAGGAGGGCGAUUACCGCCACUGGAUCUUAUGACUGGGGUGAAGUCGUAACGGCA
rnacentral:rRNA from 1 species